AUUGAACGCUGGCGGCAGGCCUAACACAUGCAAGUCGAGCGGAUGAAGGGAGCUUGCUCCUGGAUUCAGCGGCGGACGGGUGAGUAAUGCCUAGGAAUCUGCCUGGCAGUGGGGGAUAACGUCCGGAAACGGGCGCUAAUACCGCAUACGUCCUGAGGGAGAAAGUGGGGGAUCUUCGGACCUCACGCUAUCAGAUGAGCCUAGGUCGGAUUAGCUAGUUGGUGGGGUAAAGGCCUACCAAGGCGACGAUCCGUAACUGGUCUGAGAGGAUGAUCAGUCACACUGGAACUGAGACACGGUCCAGACUCCUACGGGAGGCAGCAGUGGGGAAUAUGGGGCAAUGGGCGAAAGCCUGAUCCAGCCAGGCCGCGUGUGUGAAGAAGGUCUUCGGAUUGUAAAGCACUUUAAGGUGGGAGGAAGGGCAGUAAGUUAAUACCUUGCUGUUUUGACGUUACCAGCAGAAUAAGCACCGGCUAACUACGUG
rnacentral:rRNA from 1 species